UCCUUAGAGGUCACAAGCAUUCUCUGGUC
rnacentral:piRNA from 1 species